rnacentral:lncRNA from 1 species
AAUUUCUUGCCCAAGAGAUUUUACACCUACUUUUUCCAGAAUAAAUGGAUCUUUGUGCACUAGGGGCAAGAGGGUGUUUUAUCUCUCCGCAGGUAGCUCAAGGCUUAACUUGGCAGGAGAGAAGUUUCCGUGAAAGUCGGCAGGUUUUUUCCUGUUCUCCACAGCCGCUGAGGAUCUGCUCCAUACCUGUUUCAUCGAGGGGCAUUCUCUCUGAUUUCCUGCCCUGCCCCCAUCCUUUCCCAUGAGCGCCUGGAGAGGCAAACAAGAGCUCGAGAGAGAAGGAUAAAGUUUAGUAAGCAGCUUCAUUUUGAAUAACAGCGAAACUGAGACCUGCUAGAACAAGAUGGCUUGUGGACUAUCUUCAGUAAUUAAAAACAGCCCCUGUUGCGUUAUUCCUAGACCACUCCCAUGUGUCAAACCAACUCAAUGUUCACGCCCAGGAACUAAAAAUAAAGGGCCAGGAGAAAUAUGAAAAAAGAAGCAAAUGGCAUGAAAUACCUCAAGUUGUUAUCUUCUGAUUCACUCACCUCCCCAAUUACCCUGUUUAUUCAUUUGGAAUAAAUGUGAUACAGCAGUUUCAGAGCUAACAGCUCCUAUUAAACAAUGACUCAGCUUUGUGAUUCCCCAACUUUCCUACUCUGGGGAGAGCCAGAAGAAAAGGGUUCUCUCUCAAAGAGAAUGGACCUCCGUCAACUACAGUUUCUUGUGCUACAAAUGGUAGCUGUUAACAAUAAUGCCUUUCAUAGAACCCUUGCGAGGAUCAAACUAGACAGCAAUAUGUAUAUAAGUUCCUUGCAAACUAUAAUGGUGCUAUGUUUCAUUGUGUUAUAAAUGUCUUGAGGUUUUUCAGGGAAGGGGGAUGACCGUGGUGUAGUGUUAUUCAACAAAUUCCUUAACGUUCUGAGUUUAGCAGUAAAGAGAACUGGAGAGUUAAUUUUAAUUUGUAUAUAAUGACAAAUGAAAUAGGUAAUAUUUGUAGAUACAGAUGACUUUACCAAUAAUGACAAUGUAGUGCAUAAAGGCACAUUGGGGCUUUAGGGUUACUUUGGCAAUUGCUGAUGCUAUUAUAUAUAUGUAAACUCAAAAGAGAGGCUCCCAUUAAAGAAAAAGAAUUCCCAGCCAAGAGGCUGGCCUGUUGGCGUAGUGGCUAAGUUUGUGCACUUCACUUCAGCGGCCCAGGGUUUUCCAGUUUGGAUCCUGGGUGUGGACCUAUGCGCCACUUAUCAAGCCAUGCUGUGGUGGCAUCCCACCUGGAAGAACUCACAACUAGGAAAUACAACUGUGUACUGGGGCUUUGGGGAGAAAAGAAAAGAGGAAGAUUGAUUACAGAUGUUGGCUCGGGGUGAUCUUCCUCACCAAGAAUGUCUGCAAACAAACAAAAAAACCUUUGGAUCAAAAUGAGUAUUUAAAAAAAAAUUCCCAGCCAAGAGUCACUUAAUCAAACCUUAUUUUUAAGAAUGGCAUUUGCUCAUUUUGUCGUCUUCAUUAUUCCCAUUCGUGUAACGUUGGAAGAAAAAAAUGAUGUCAGUUGGUAUUUCCAACCAUUUAGGCAUAAUCAGCAGCAGAUGUAAGAUUUGUAAGGAUGUAACAAUUCCUUCAAUAAUCCCCUGAAACUGCUUGUUCACUUCCAUUGCCUACAAAUAAAAGAGAAUUGCUCAUUAAUAAAACUGAAUAUCUCAAUAACACAGUGGGAUUGUAUUAUUUUAAUGUGCCAUUGUGAAUUGAUCAUGCAUUGCUUUUUAUUUUACUUUUGCUUUGGAAAGUGACAAUUCUGGUACCUUAAAUAGUCC